rnacentral:rRNA from 1 species
GUGCCAGCAGCCGCGGUAAUACAGAGGGUGCAAGCGUUAAUCGGAAUUACUGGGCGUAAAGCGAGCGUAGGUGGCUUGAUAAGUCAGAUGUGAAAUCCCCGGGCUUAACCUGGGAACUGCAUCUGAUACUGUCAGGCUAGAGUAGGUGAGAGGGAGGUAGAAUUUCAGGUGUAGCGGUGAAAUGCGUAGAGAUCUGAAGGAAUACCGAUGGCGAAGGCAGCCUCCUGGCAUCAUACUGACACUGAGGUUCGAAAGCGUGGGUAGCAAACAGGAUUAGAUACCCCCGUAGUCC